GAGGUGAAGAGGGAAGCAUCUUCUGAAAUUGAAGAACUUGGAUUCUUUAAAAACUAAUAUGUUGAGAAUGGAGAGUACAAGGGAAAUGAAUGAUGUGACUUUUCCAUAGUAACAACUCACAUUUUCCCCAUAACAUUAGAAGAUUUAUUGAAGGAAAAUAUUGGCCAUUUAAGGGUUUAUUUGUCUAGAAAAGACAAGUGGUGGGUGUGGGGGUUAAACUCAAUGUUCAUUAUUGAUGGGGGCAUGUUGUACUGUUUGAAAUGCGGUGUUUGUUGAAAUUCUCAAAAGCCUUAUCAGAACAAUCAGUCCAUAUAAAGCCCCAACACCAACUGUAAAACCACAAUCUACAAUUCCAAUAUUGCUUUAACCUCUACAAACAACCCCUUGAACUCAGAGUGAAAAUAGAGUCACAUUUGUUGGAUGUUUCCAGUUGAUCUCUCAGGUCCC
rnacentral:lncRNA from 1 species